rnacentral:snRNA from 1 species
CCGUAUAGGGCUCACCUUC